AGUUGGGGUUUGGUAAGAACUUGUCCCUGUUUAGAUGUUUUACUCACUGCAUUUUGUUAUAUGAUCUAUCAUUAAGUUUCACCAUUCAUUUUGUGCCAUUUUCUGUAUUUCCCUCAUUGGCUUUGACUAAGGGUGCAUCAGCCUUCUUUCUAUUGUUGAUGUUUCUAUAGUCGGUCACUCAUGUUAGCCUAGCAAGGAUUGUUUAUGUUUUAACUCUGCUCUGAGAUAUAUGCUUUUUUGGCAGCCGCUGAGAUAUAUGAUUUAAUUUUGAGUUUACGCUUCUACAAAUUUGAUCUCAUGUGUGUGAGCAAAAUUCCCUGGGCCAGACCUCCAUACUGGACAUGCUGACCUACGAGGAUCAAGGAGGCCUGGAGUAAACAUAUGCCUUCACGGUAUUCAGGUUCUAAUUCGUCUUUUUAUAUGGAUGGGCUUACUUGUGCUUAUGGCAGUGAUUCCUCGGAGGAUGAUAGUAUAAUGCAAGUUCUUUCUUUGCUUAAUUGGUCUUAUUUUCCUAAAUCCAGCCGUCUCCGAAUUACAUACAGUGAUCUAUCGAUAACCCACAAGAACCUCAUAUUUACAUGAAUAAGACUUGCAGGUGCAUUUGUUUUAUUUUCGAUGUACCUUCGAGAGGAAGACGAGACGAGCCAAUGAUGACAGUAGCAUCCAUGAGUUCGCCAAAGACCAUAGGCUUGGCGUGUUUGGGCGUGGCCUGAAUACCGGCAACCUGCUAUAGAAUCUCUACCCCCUCUCCUCUACGGCCCUCCAAGAAAUGGAUGCCGCCGUUCCAGCCGGACCUGCAUCACUGCAACAAUUUACAACAAAAUGUUGUCUUGCUAUUGCUUGGAAUGGCGUUGUCGCACGUCUCCCCGCCGGCUGGGCAUGCGAGAUGCGAUGGCCCUUGCAUCCAGCGACAAUUGGCUACGGCGGCACGACACUCGCACGUGUGUGCACGCCUUCAGCCACCGAAGCAUGCUCGCCACGGACGCCAGCGCCAUGAGCCCAUGAUAGCCCGCUCCCCAUCACAAAGGAGCGCACAACGCAGCCUGGGAGCAGGUGCCCAGCCUCGGCGACGCUGAGUCCCGUCUACUCGCCUCUCCUCUUCAACACCAGCAUUCCUCUCCAGGUCGAAGCUCAAAGAUAGGAGAAAGGAGAUAAGGACGAAGCAGUAUCAGAGGAUUCGCAAAACAAAAGAUGACAGGUAGAGUCACAGAGGGAGAUGGACAUGUGUUGCUGAGGAUGUGUGUGUGGCAGGUGUUGGGUUAGACCGCACCUUCUGCACUAGAGAAUUAGCAAGCACGGUCGCAUUCGAGUGUGUGUUCCAUUUUUUAUAUAUUUCUAUUGCAAGUAGAUAAUACAUAAAGAAGUAUAGUUGAAAGGACUGUGUUCCGUGUACAUGUGUAAAUUGGCUAUA